GAGUUUGAUCGUGGCUCAGGAUGAACGCUGGCGGCGUGCCUAAUACAUGCAAGUCGAGCGAACGGACGAGAAGCUUGCUUCUCUGAUGUUAGCGGCGGACGGGUGAGUAACACGUGGAUAACCUACCUAUAAGACUGGGAUAACUUCGGGAAACCGGAGCUAAUACCGGAUAAUAUUUUGAACCGCAUGGUUCAAAAGUGAAAGACGGUCUUGCUGUCACUUAUAGAUGGAUCCGCGCUGCAUUAGCUAGUUGGUAAGGUAACGGCUUACCAAGGCAACGAUGCAUAGCCGACCUGAGAGGGUGAUCGGCCACACUGGAACUGAGACACGGUCCAGACUCCUACGGGAGGCAGCAGUAGGGAAUCUUCCGCAAUGGGCGAAGGCCUGACGGAGCAACGCCGCGUGAGUGAUGAGGGUCUUCGGAUCGUAAAACUCUGUUAUUAGGGAGAACAUAUGUGUAAGUAACUGUGCACAUCUUGACGGUACCUAAUCAGAAGCCACGGCUAACUACGUCG
rnacentral:rRNA from 1 species